rnacentral:rRNA from 1 species
UACAGAGACCUCAAGCGUUAUCCGGAAUCAUUGGGCGUAAAGCGUACCGAUAGGUGGUUUUACAAGUCAGAAGUGAAAUCUCUCAGCUCAACUGGGAGACUGUCUUUUGAAACUGUAAAACUAGAGGGGCAAAGAGGAAGCUGGAACGAACGGUGUAGUAGUGAAAUGCGUUGAUAUCGUUCGGAACACCAAUAGCGUAGGCAGGCUUCUGGGUGCCACCUGACACUGCUAGGACGAAAGCGUGGGGAGCGAAUGGG